GGGCAGCCAUCGCCGAGUCCCCGUCAGGCGCGAGCCUGGGGAGCCGGGGACCCAUGCAGUCCCUGGGGUGAAUCGGAUGCCUGAGCCCGGAUGAGGCCGGGGCGUCCGUAGGAGACCUUCCUGCUCCGAACCCGUCAGCUAACCCGGUAGGCGAGAAGGAAGGAAAG
rnacentral:sRNA from 2 species